ACUCCUACGGGAGGCAGCAGUGGGGAAUAUUGGACAAUGGGCGAAAGCCUGAUCCAGCAAUGCCGCGUGCGUGAAGAAGGCCUGCGGGUUGUAAAGCACUUUCAGUUGGGAAGAUGAUGACGUUACCAACAGAAGAAGCACCGGCUAACUCCGUGCCAGCAGCCGCGGUAAU
rnacentral:rRNA from 1 species